rnacentral:rRNA from 1 species
AUUGAACGCUGGCGGCAUGCCUUACACAUGCAAGUCGAACGGCAGCACGGGAGCAAUCCUGGUGGCGAGUGGCGAACGGGUGAGUAAUAUAUCGGAACGUGCCCAGUCGUGGGGGAUAACGUAGCGAAAGCUACGCUAAUACCGGAUACGAUCUAUGGAUGAAAGCGGGGGAGUCGCAAGACCUCGCGCGAUUGGAGCGGCCGAUAUCAGAUUAGGUAGUUGGUGGGGUAAAAGCCUACCAAGCCUUCGAUCUGUAGCUGGUCUGAGAGGACGACCAGCCACACUGGAACUGAGACACGGUCCAGACUCCUACGGGAGGCAGCAGUGGGGAAUUUUGGACAAUGGGCGCAAGCCUGAUCCAGCAAUGCCGCGUGCAGGAUG